AACCAUAGAAACCUGCGGAGUACCUGCGGAGGGAUCAUUAAUGAAUUUUUAAUGAGGAGUUUGGUUAGUAGCUGGCCCUCUAGGAUUUUUUGAAAAAAUUAUUCUGGGCAUGUGCACACCUCUCUCUUUCAUCCACACACACCCCUGUGCACUUGUGAGGCAGAUGGGAUUUUUUGUUUACUUUUGGAGUUACUUGAUUUACUUCUUGGAACCCCCCAAAUAAACAAUUCCCCCCUGUCU
rnacentral:misc_RNA from 1 species